rnacentral:rRNA from 1 species
GACAGAGGGUGCAAGCGUUGUUCGGAAUCAUUGGGCGUAAAGGGCGCGUAGGCGGUUAUAUAAGUCGGAUGUGAAAGCCCACAGCUUAACUGUGGAAGUGCAUCCGAAACUGUAUGACUCGAGUCUCGGAGAGGGUGGUGGAAUUCCCAGUGUAGAGGUGAAAUUCGUAGAUAUUGGGAGGAACACCGGUGGCGAAGGCGACCACCUGGCUGAAGACUGACGCUGAGGCGCGAAAGCGUGGGGAUCAAACAGG